CGCUCCUGCGCAAGUGGAGGGAUAGGAGUAUACGAGGAACCGUUGUGUCGUUUGCACGCAACGUGUAUUCGUUCCCCGAACGACAGGAACUUUCCAAAGUUUUUUUUCACGCUUACGUCAGCCGUCUCGUGACGUCUGAGAGGCGGAACUCGAACGAACGUCGGAGGGAGAAAUUAGGAGGAUAUCUAUCUGUAAUCUUCGAUUCCCCGAAAUAUACAUCGCAAGUGGAAGCCGAAACUACUGUUCCAAGAAGUCUUCUCGAUGCAAAAACAUACGAUCUAAUAAUUAUAUAUAUCCAUCAUAAUAUAGCCUGUAUUUUCUGAUAAAAAAGUUGAAAAUAUGUGAAAGAACGCGACGGCGGAGAGGAAGAACGACGGCAAUCGAAAGACCGGAAGGUGGCGGCAUCUUGAAAAGCGGCGGUCGGCAAAGCAGGACGAGGCGAUCCGGAUGAUGUGACAAUAAACAUAGCUUCUGCAACCACCUCCGCGCUUUCCUCUUCCGUCCUCCGGUCAGGCGUGAUGCAAGUUAGGAGGGGACCGAGAAAUGCAAGCGAAGCCUGCUCCGUUCGCGCUUACGUAGGCAUUCGUCUUGCGUUCUUCGUGCAAAC